rnacentral:rRNA from 1 species
UACGUAGGUGGCAAGCGUUAUCCGGAAUUACUGGGCGUAAAGGGUCCGCAGGUGGGACGAUUAGUCUGGUGUGACAUCCCCCGGCUCAACUGGGGGAGGCCAUUGGAAACUGUCGUUCUUGAGUCACGGAGAGGGGUGCGGAAUUCCGGGUGUAGUGGUGGAAUGCGUAGAGAUCCGGAGGAACACCAGAGGCGCAAGCGGCACCCUGGCUGCUGACUGACACUGAGGGACGAAAGCGUGGGGAGCAAACAGG